GCCUGAACUUACUUUCCUCCAAUGAACUUUCAUUUUUUCCUUGCUGAAGACUUGUCUCCCUCUCCUAUAAAAGCCUUCCAUGCUGUGUAACCCGUGUGAGUCUCUCUGCUUGCCAGUAUGUAUCCUUCGACUUGCUUUGCUGUUUGUGGUUUUGGUCUCAGCCUACCAUGCUGCAGGAAUCCCUCAUACAUCAGAACAUACCGGACGACCCCACCUCCGCCCCCUGACAGCUCACCGCCUCCCGACCCCGCAGCCACCCCCUGGGGGCAACUUCGAAGAGAUCGAAGGCCAAGGACCGUAUUCCCAACGGUCCGCCGAAGCCUCACACACUAGACAAGCGGCGUUGAGAUGCUGGAGGACGGAGAGGGUCAACGGCUAAACCUACGACCCACCACCGGCCUUGACCCCCAGCCCGGGCGCCCUCCUGGACCCAGGUCUUCUCCAUUCCCUCUCGCUGUCUCCCUCAUUUCUAGGCGCCCUGCCUCCACCAAUCCCAUAAAGCUCAAUAAAUACCAAGAGAUCUGCAUUUGCAGCAAGGGA